GGGAUCGAUGAUGACCACUGAUGACGUAUGAGUUGCAAACGAUGAAUGCGUCUCUGGAACUCUGAGAUCUUU